CACGUAGGGGACGAGCGUUGUCCGGAUUCAUUGGGCGUAAAGCGCGCGUAGGCGGCUCGGAAAGUCGGUCGUGAAAUGCCGGGGCUCAACCCCGGGACUGCGUCCGAUACUCCCGAGCUGGAGGCAGGUAGGGGAGAUCGGAAUUCCUGGUGUAGCGGUGAAAUGCGCAGAUAUCGGGAGGAACACCAGUAGCGAAGGCGGCUCGCUGGGCCACACCUGACGCUGAGACGCGAAAGCUAGGGGAGCGAACAGG
rnacentral:rRNA from 1 species